CAACGAUGAAGAGUUUGAUCCUGGCUCAGGAUGAACGCUAGCGGCAGGCCUAACACAUGCAAGUCGAGGGGCAGCGGGGAUAAGCUUGCUUAUCCGCCGGCGACCGGCGCACGGGUGCGCAACGCGUAUAGAAUCUGCCUUGUACUGGGGAAUAGCCCAGAGAAAUUUGGAUUAAUGCCCCAUGGUAUGUAGGAGCGGCAUCGCUUCUACAUUAAAGGCUACGGUACAAGAUGACUAUGCGUCCCAUUAGUUAGUUGGCGAGGUAACGGCUCACCAAGACGGCGAUGGGUAGGGGCCCUGAGAGGGGGAUCCCCCACACUGGUACUGAGACACGGACCAGACUCCUACGGGAGGCAGCAGUGAGGAAUAUUGGACAAUGGGCGAGAGCCUGAUCCAGCCAUGCCGCGUGCAGGAAGACGGUCCUAUGGAUUGUAAACUGCUUUUAUACGGGAAGAACAAAGGGCACGUGUGCCCCUCUGACGGUACCGUAAGAAUAAGGAUCGGCUAACUCCGUGCCAGCAGCCGCGGUAAUACGGAGGAUCCAAGCGUUAUCCGGAAUCAUUGGGUUUAAAGGGUCCGUAGGCGGGCCAUUAAGUCAGGGGUGAAAGUCUGCAGCUCAACUGUAGAAUUGCCCUUGAUACUGGU
rnacentral:rRNA from 1 species